rnacentral:rRNA from 1 species
UACGUAGGAUGCAAGCGUUGUCCGGAAUUAUUGGGCGUAAAGAGCGAGCAGGCGGUUACUCAAGUCAGAUGUAAAAUAUCCCGGCUUAACCGGGAGGGGCCAUUUGAAACUGGGCAACUAGAGUGAAGCAGAGGAUAGCGGAAUUCCCGGUGUAGUGGUGAAAUGCGUAGAUAUCGGGAGGAACACCAGUGGCGAAGGCGGCUAUCUGGGCUUUAACUGACGCUGAGGCGCGAAGGCUAGGGGAGCAAACAGG